GCUGGGCGUGGUGGCUCACGCCUGUAAUCUCAGCACUUUGAGAGGCAGAGACGGGCGGAUCACUUGAGGUCAGGAGUUCGAGACCAGCCUGACCAACAUGGUGAAACCCUGUCUCUA
rfam:Homo sapiens chromosome 5, GRCh38 reference primary assembly.